UUUUGCGCACGAGGAGCACUGCAGGGGAGCGGACGGCGCGUGAGAGUGCGGGGAAGAGUGUGCACCUGAGCGAGCGUGGGGGUGCGGGGGUGGGGUGCGUGUGCAGGGGUGGGGGUGUGUGUGCGCAGCGUGUGGCCCUGCUGGAAUCCCGCCUACACGUUGAUCUUAUUCGAUCGGGCCGGGGGCGGCCGCCCGGCCCGAGAUGAGAAGACCCCUCCCGCGAAGCCCGCGGGCGCUGUGCGGGGCAGAGUUGGAGGCCGCAGCCGGCUCGCCCGGCGCUCAGAGGUGAUGAGUCGAUCAGAUAGAUGAGGCCGCGGGGCGGGUCCGCGCUGGCCCGAGCCCCCGGCCCAUGAGUAUCGAGGCGAUUCUGAUCUGA
rnacentral:snoRNA from 1 species